GCGUUCGUAGUUUAAGGGUAGAAUUCGAGCUUCCCAUUGUACAAUUUGAUAUGCUCGAGGACCGAGUUCGAGUCUCGGCGGACGCA